ensembl:lncRNA
GCGGGUUCCAGAGCAAUGGCUUUUAACUCGUGCAGGCGGGUAAGUAUUCAACAAGUAGCUGUAUCUUCACACUGGGCUUACUGAGCGGGUUCCAGAGCAAUGGCUUUUAACUCGUGCAGGCGGGUAAGUAUUCAACAAGUAGCUGUAUCUUCACACUGGGCUUUACAGGGCGUAUUCAAGGGCAAUAGCUUUUAGCUCGUACAGACAGGUAAGUAUUCAACAAGUAACUGUAUCUUCACGCUGGGCUUUACAGGGCGUAUUCAAGGGCAAUAGCUUUUAGCUCGUACAGACAGGUAAGUAUUCAACAAGUGACUGGAUCUUCACGCUGGGCUUACAGAGCGUAUUCAAGGUCAGUAGCUUUCCCCACAAUAUCCGCACAAUACCUUGUUUUGCUUUCACACUUCACCUUCGAGCUGGGUCCGGAGAACGGAGUUAUAGGCGGGCGUAGGUGGGAUAGGUGGGCACCGCCACGGCAGCCUACGUUCUUUCCAACAGGAACUUUUCUCGGCCUGGAGGGCAAGUACAGACAACAGGGAAACGGCACAGCACUGCAAAGCUUUAGUGCACACACGUCAAAGACAGACUCACCCACUGCACUACACACACUUCAGUGAUUUUUAAGGUCGGUACUCCACACCCGGUCGGAUUUCGUCCUGGAGGAAUUUGCAGUCGCUGUCACGGUAAGUGCUCCAAACUUUACGGUGUGGCCACAGCCAAAUAACAUCCAUUCACCCACGCUCUAC